UUGGAGGGCAAGUCUGGUGCCAGCAGCCGCGGUAAUUCCAGCUCCAAUAGCGUAUAUUAAAGUUGUUGCAGUUAAAAAGCUCGUAGUUGAAUUUCGGGAUCAAUAUGUCGGUCGUGCUUUUGGUACGUACUGGCAUCAUUGGUUUCUCCCUUCUGACAAACCAUGAUGUCAUUAAUUUGGUGUUAUGGGGAGUUAGGACUGUUACUUUGAAAAAAUUAGAGUGUUUAAAGCAGGCAUUAGCUUGAAUACAUUAGCAUGGAAUAAUGAAAUAGGACGUUUGACCCUAUUUUGUUGGUUUCUAGGAUCGACGUAAUGAUUAAUAGAGAUAGUUGGGGGCAUUAGUAUUCAAUUGUCAGAGGUGAAAUUCUUGGAUUUAUUGAAGACUAACUACUGCGAAAGCAUUUGCCAAGGAUGUUUUCAUUAAUCAAGAACGAAAGUUAGGGGAUCGAAGACGAUCAGAUACCGUCGUAGUCUUAACCAUAAACUAUGCCGACUAGGGAUCGGAUGAUGUUAAUUUUUUAAUGACUCAUUCGGCGCCUUACGGGAAAC
rnacentral:rRNA from 1 species